GGUUCUGUUGGUCUAAGUGGUUGGAUAAUCUGCCUCAGAUGCAGAAGGUCAUGGGUUUGAACCCCUGCAUAGCCA